AUUACAGCUAAGUCUAUCUAAAAAAUUUAGAACAUUAAUUUUUCUCCCUUUUGAUAAUAUUUAAUAAGAACAUCUAGAAUAAAACUUUUUCCAUGAAGGGAAAGUAAUAUCCAC
rnacentral:lncRNA from 1 species